GAGGGGCAGCGGGGUAGUAAGCUUGCUUACUACUGCCGGCGACCGGCGCACGGGUGAGUAACACGUAUGCAACCUGGCCGUCACAGAGGGAUAACCGGGAGAAAUCCCGCCUAAUACCGCAUAAUACCGGGGAAGGACAUCCUUUUCCGGUCAAAGGAGCGAUCCGGUGACGGAUGGGCAUGCGCCGCAUUAGUUAGUUGGCGGUGUAACGGACCACCAAGACGACGAUGCGUAGGGGUUCUGAGAGGAAGGUCCCCCACACUGGUACUGAGACACGGACCAGACUCCUACGGGAGGCAGCAGUGAGGAAUAUUGGUCAAUGGGCGAGAGCCUGAACCAGCCAAGUCGCGUGAGGGAAGACGGUCCUAUGGAUUGUAAACCUCUUUUGUCGGGGAGCAAAAAGCGGUACGUGUACCGCAUCGAGAGUACCCGGAGAAAAAGCAUCGGCUAACUCCGUGCCAGCAGCCGCGGUAAUACGGAGGAUGCGAGCGUUAUCCGGAUUUAUUGGGUUUAAAGGGUGCGCAGGCGGCGAGUUAAGUCAGCGGUAAAAUUUCGGGGCUCAACCCCGACGAGCCGUUGAAACUGGCUUGCUAGAGUGGGCGAGAAGUAUACCCAACGCGUGGUGUAGCGGUGAAAUGCA
rnacentral:rRNA from 1 species